rnacentral:rRNA from 1 species
CGCCUGUUUAACAAAAACAUGUCUUUUUAGUUAAAAUUAAAAAGUCGUACCUGCCCAAUGAAAAUUUUAAUGGCCGCGGAAUUUUAACCGUGCAAAGGUAGCAUAAUCAUUAGUUUUAUAAUUUAAAACUGGAAUGAAGGGUUUGUCAAGAAACUUUCUGUCUCUUUUUGAUAUAAUGAAAUUUAUUUUUAAGUAAAAAAGCUUAAAUUUUAUUAAAAGACGAGAAGACCCUAUAGAGUUUUAUAGAUUAAUAAAUUUUAUUAUUAAUUUUAUUUUAUUAAUUUAUUUUUAUUGGGGCGAUAAGAAAAUUAAUUAAACUUUUCUUUUAUUAUUAUAUUUAUAUAUAAUUUUAUGAUCCAUUGUUAAUGAUUAAAAGAUUAAAUUACCUUAGGGAUAACAGCGUUAUUUAUUUUUAUAGUUCUUAUAGAAAAAUAAGUUUGCGACCUCGAUGUUGGAUUAA